AGCCCGCAAUUGCUUCUCGCCUCUGCAGAGCAGCUGGGCAAUUGUAAAGAACCAGCAGCCAGUUCUGUUACUCAUUAAACAGCCCCUACUACAGAGGAAAUCUUCUUACCCACGUGGUCCUAACCUGGGGCGGAGGAAACCGGGCUAGAAGCGGCUCUAGGACUAACCCAAGGUCACGCCGCCAGGCAGGAUCCCCGGUCUGUCUGUCUGGCGGUGGCCCCGCGGCUGGGGCCAGCGGAGAGAAAUGACAGCGUGGAACCAGCCCUGGCCCGGUGGUCGGGAAUGUGGAGCUGGCACUGUCACUGUGUGUACCCUGGAUCUCUCUGGACGGCCUCGGCUUCCCCCCUGGGGAGUUUCUCUGGGACCUUCCUGAUCCUGGGAGUUCCCGCUUGCUGGGGCAAAGCCAGGAGCUCGCCCGAGGAGGGGAAGUGACUCAUUCACUUCGAGUCGCAGCUAAGUGGCCGAACUGCCUCAAACCGGCGCUGCACUCUGACCCCCAGGGGCCGGACCUGCCUGCCCCCGGCCGGUGCCCACUCUCCGUCUCAGGCGUCUUUCCUGGUCCUCUCCCUGCUUCCCGAACGCGCACUCUGGUGAGAGCACAGAGCCUGGGAAAGAAGACGACCUAGAGGCCCGGGCAGCCCAGCACCUCUGUUACUUGCUUCCUAAAGGGAACUCCAGUUCCUGAGAAAACAUGGGGUUGGGCCGGGAGUGGUGGCUCACGCCUGUAAUCCCAGCACUUUGGAAGGCCGAGGCGGAUGGAUCACCUGAGGUCAGGAGUUCGAGACCAGCCUGCCCAACAUGGUGAAACCCCGUCACUACUAAAAAUACAAAAAAUUAGCUGGACGUGGUGUCGCGUGCCUGUAAUCCCAGGUACUAGGCAGGCCGAGGCAGGAGAAUUGCUUGAACCCAGCGAAGGAUGCAGUGAGCCGAGAUCGCGCCAUUGCACUCCAUACUGGGUGACAAGAGUGAAACACACAAACAAAUCAAGGAAGGAAUUAAGGGUUUUAUUGAAAAUGAAAGUACGGCCAGGCGCAGUGGCUCACACCUGUAAUCCCAGCACUUUGGGAGGCCGAGGCGGGUGGAUUACAAAGUCAGGAGUUCAAGACCAGCCUAACCAAGAUGGUGAAACCCCGUCUCUACUAAAAGUAAAAAAAAAAAAAAAACAAAAAAAAAAACCUAGCCGGUCACAGUGGCAGGUGCCUGUAAUUCCAGCUACUUGGGAGGCUGAGGCAGGAGAACCACUUGAACCUGGGUGGCAGAGGUUGCAGUGAGCUGAGAUCAUGCCACUGCAUUCCAGCCUUGGUGACACAGUGAGACGCCAUCUCAAAAAAAAAAGGUAAAUGAAAGUACACUCCACAGUGUGGGAGCGGGCCUGAGCGUAGGGGCUCAAAGGCCCCAUUCCAGAAUUUUGGGGAGUUUCAAUGUCCUCCGCUUGGGGCACACACUAUGUAAAUGAAAGGGAUGAUGCAAAGUUACAAAGUCAUUUACUUGGCCUACGCAGAGGCUAUUUCCUGUCAUAGCUAAAGUGUGAAUCGGCCUUAUGUUCCCUGCCUCCAGACCCUAUUUUGCUGCCUCAGACUGAAGACUGAAACUGGCCUGGUUAGGAAGUUGCUAUUCUCUCUCUCUGAAGGUAGAUUAACAACUUAGUUUUAGUUUUGUUACCGGAAAAGGGUCCCAAUCCAGACCCCAAGAGAAUGUUCUUGGAUCUUGUGCAAGAAAGAAUUCGGGGCCAGGGUGAGUCCACAGAGUAAAGUGAAAGAAGCAAGCUUAUUGAGAAAGUAAAGGAAUAAAAGAAUGGCAAUUCCAUGGGCAGGGCAGCCUCUAGGGCUGCUGGUUGGCUAUUUUUAUGGUUAUUUCUUGAUCAUAUACUAAAUAAGGGUGGAUUAUUCAUGAGUUUUCUAGGAAUUCUUCCUUUUAGAACAUAUAGGGUAACUUCUAAAUGUUGCCAUGGUAUUUAUAAACUGUCAUGGUGCUGGUAGGAGUGUCGUUUAGCAUGAGAAUGCAUUGUAAUUAGCGAAUAAUGAGCAAUGAGGAAGACCAGAGGUAGUUUUCCUCACCUUGCUGGUUUUUGGCAGGUUUUGGCCAGUUUUGGCUGGCUUCUUUACUGCAUCCUGUUUCAUCAGCAAGGUCUUUGUAACCUGUAUCUUGUGAUACCACCUGCCAACCUUCUAUUUCAUCCUGUGACUAAGGAUGCCUAACCUCCUGGGAAUGCACUCCAGCAGAUCUCAGCCUCAUUUUACCCAGCUCCUAUUCAAGAUGAAGAGUCUCUGAGUCGACUCCUGCUGACAUAUUUCCUGACUCUACAACCCUUAGGAUUAAGGGUUCCCUUGUAAAAGGGAAGGGGGAAUAACCAAAUAACUCACCCCUUUCUUGGAAAACUCAGGAAUAAUCCACCCCUUGCUUAGCACAUAUUCAAGAGUAAUCAUAAAAAAUACCCACCAGCAGCCCUUGGGGAUGCUCUGCCUAUGGAGUAGCCACUCUUUUAUUCCCUUCCUUUCUUAAUAAACUUCCUUUUACUGUUCUCUGUGGACUCACCCCAAAUUCUUUCUUGUAGGAGAUCCAAGAACUUUCUCUAGGGCUCAGGAUCAGGACGCCUUUCCAGUAAGUUUGGUGACCUGAAACGUUAGCAUGGGUGACUUUAUUUUUAUUUUUAGUCUUGUCUUUUGGGGCCUAGUGCAAGAGCUUAGUCUAAAACAAUGGCCUCCUAUAAUUUGUGUUUAACAUUUGUCAGGUUAAAACCUUGUCAGUGUGACAAACUGGAAACAAAAUUGUGUCGGGCCACUACUAAACCACACCCAAAAUACCUGUGUCAUCAAUGUUUGCAAGCAGAGAGCAAAUGCAGCCCACCAAUGGCCACCUAGAGCAGCAGCUGCUAGAGGCAGGAAAGUCUGGAAGAGACCCAGGGCUUGCAGGCUCAGCCAGGAUCCCCCUGCUCCUCAACAAGGUCUUUGGGCUCUUUCAGAGAUGCAGUUGGCCCUGAGCUCUGAGAGGUGGGGAGGGAAGGGGCUGAGAGGCUGAAGGCCAGGCCACACCAGAUAGUGACACACCACUGCCCUUCAGGUUUCCCAAAUCUAAGUAACUUCAAACUCUUUGAAAUUCUCCCAAAGCUAAUGUGUCUACCUAAAAGAAAGAUGAGACAAAAUUAACAUAGAGAGUUUAUUUGUGCCCAGGUUGAGGACUGUAGCCCAGGACACACUUCUAAGUUGCCAUGGGGAGUGCUCCAAGAACAAAAAGGAGGCUCAAGUUUUUAAAGAAAAAAGAACAACUCAGGAGAUGGGGCGAUUGCAGAGUUGUCAGGAAUCCUCAUUGGUUUACAGAAAUAACAUUGGUUAGUGAUUGCCCACACAGUGUUGAACUAUAGGGUGGAUGGCAUCUUAUGGCUAAUUGGCCUCAGUUAUUCUACAGCCACAUAGCAAGUGGCUUCAAGAGGUAACCACUUAGCUGAAGGGGAAGUGAGCCAUGACUGCUGUUCUGUUCUAAAUGUUCUCUGGGCCUGAUAAUUUAAAGGCUCACCUUCCUCAGGAAAAGAAAUGUGUUUGUUGUUUGUUUGUUUGUUUUCUUUCUCAGAUAAUAUUUUAGAGAUAGUAGCUGAGGCUUCUUCUCUGUUUGUCCUCACUUCCCAAUUCCUCAUGCAAUUGCUCUUUUCUUUCCAAUCCAGCAGCCAUACAGAUUUCUAGAACACCCCUCAGAGAGGGCAGAAAUUGAGCCGCAGUGUUUUCUAAACAGCUGCCUGGUCCAUUCGUGGGUCAUGAAACCCAUGUGGUGGGUCACAGCUAGCAUUUUCAUUGUCAGUGAGACAGAAUGGAGUGAAAAAGCCUCUGCCUGCUUUCCACACCAGAGCACGUACUUUUAUCACACGAACUAUGACUCAGACACCACAAACCCAGACCAGGCCUCCAGGUCAGAAGUUGACUCCCCUGAGGCCUGUGGUGAGACUACAGCAUGACUCAGACCCCUGAGAUUUCAAAUUCUUGCCAAAAUACAAAAAGUGAGAUUCUUCCCGCCAACUCUCACUCAUCAUAUAGAGCUACUCAGUCCCCUGACCCACCCCCAGCUCAGAUAGGCUCACAGUGGCAGGCCCACUCCCCUGGCAGCUGAGUCCAGUCUGAUGAGCCAUCACUUUCCCAGGUUGCUGGUCCUAGUAGUCAACAAAGAGAGUCAAACUCUGUAAAAUAUUUGAAGAGAUUUAUCCUAAGCCAAAUGUGAAUGACCAUGGCCCGUGACACAGCAAACGGCCCUCAGGAGGUUCUGAGGACACGUGCCCAAGGCGGUCAGGGUGCAGCUUGGUUUUAUAUGUUUUAGGAAUGCAUGAGACAGCAAUCAAAUACAUUUAAGAAAUACAUUGGUUUGGUCCAGAAAGGCAGGACAACUCAAAGCGGGGUAGGGGGCAGGGUUCAAGGCUAUAGGUAAAUUUAGACAUUUUCUGGUUUACAAUUGGUUGAGUUUGUCUAAAGACCUGGAUUGAUAGAAAGGAAAUGUCCAGGUUAAGAUAAAAGAUUGUGGAGACCCAGGGUAUUUGAAGUCUUAUAGUGGCUGCCCUUAGAGACAAUAGAUGACAAAUGUUUCCUAUUCAGAUCUUUAAUAAAAGGUGCUAGACACUUAGUUAAUCUCUUUUUUUUUUUUUUUUUUUUGAGAUGGAGUCUCACACUCUCACCCAGGCUGGAGUGCAGUGGCGCGAUCUCGGCUCACUGAAAGCUCCGCCUCCCAGGUUCAUGCCAUUCUCCUGCCUCAGCCUCCCGAGUAGCUGGGACUACAGGCGCCCGCCACCACACCCAGCUAAUUUUUGUAUUUUCAGUAGGGACAGGGUUUCACCAUGUUAGCCAGGAUGGUCUCGAUCUCCUGACCUUGUGAUCCACCUGCCUCGGCCUCCCAAAGUGCUGGGAUUGCAGGCGUGAGCCACCGUGCCCGGCCAGUUAAUCUCUUUAAAAUUGGGAGAGCCUGGAAGAAAAAGCUCUAGCUAUGUUAAUAGAGAUUUUUUACAGAUGCAAAUUUCCCCCACAAAGGACAGCUUUGCAGGGCCAUUUCAAGAUAUGGCAAAGAAACAUGUUUUGGGAUAAAAUAUUUUUAUUUUCUUCCCUGUCUCGUAAUGUUAUGCCAGAGUCAGGUUGGAAAGUAAGUCACGAUAUAUAGGGUUAAAUAAAACCCAUCUCAUGAGAAUUCAUUGUUUAUAGGGCAUGACUCCCCAGACCCCUUAGAUAAGAAUUGGCAAGAUAAAAAAAAACGUCAGAGCUUAGUCCUCACAGUCAAUGGCUAGCCUCCAAGGAAGUGGAGGAUUCCCACAGGAUUCCAGCUGCCCAGAGGCUUCACAGGCAUAUCCAUGUUUACAGAAAAGAUACAGGCCAUGAGAUAUUUAUACAAAACACUUAGGAGUCACAGCCAGCUACCCAACGGAUGCCAAUGGCUGACUGGUUCUUGCCCUCUCAGUCUUCACCUUUAGGAGAGGUGGUGCUGGCAGGAUGUGGUAUUUCUCAUUCAGGGCCUCUGGAACCAUCUAAUCUAGGAAACACCCUUGUCUCAUGCCUUGCUGCCACACAGCUCCAUUUGCUCUCCAGUUUUCCAAGAAGCCUUCUACCUGACUGGUUUUGCUCUAAACCACUAUCUCAGACUGAAAUUCUUCACAAAUUCCACCCAGGAAUAAUAAGGGUUCAUUUCUGAACUGGACUCAGCAUGCCAUAUGACCCAUGGAGAUAUUUUCCUCAUGAGAUUUGACACAGGGGUCAUUGGCCAUGCCGCACCCUAGCUGAUGACUGGGCAAGUUACCAAAAACCAUCUGAGCCAGCCUCCUCGUCUACGCAGGGGAAUAAUAUGGUUCUGCAGGAUGGUUGAGGUCAGGGAAAAAUGUAUUCAAAUUAGCAAAUUCUUGCCAAAAUACAAAAAGCGAGAUUCUUCCCACCAACUCUCACUCAUCAUAUAGAACUACUCAGUGCCCCAUGUAUACAAAUGUAACAAGCCUGCAUGUUGUGCACAUGUACCCUAAAACUUAAAGUAUCAUAGUAAUAAAAUUUAAAAAAAAAGAAGGCUUUUCUGGUUCAUUGUUCUGUUUGUUAUUCUGCUGCUUAUGUUUAGAAAACACGCAGAGAGCUAGGAUGAGGCAUUCUUGGAGCCACCUCGUUAGAAAAAUGAAGUCUGCUGCCUUGCUUUCACAAUGGCUGAACUGGAAGAAGACCUAGCAACGCUGUUGUCCUUCCCACUUGACUGAGAGAUGAGGAGCUUGCAGCUGUAGCCUGGCACCACAUAACUGACGACGUGCUUCUCAGUGUCCAUGCUGAGUAUUGCUUGUGUAUGGUGUGAGGUAUGGAUCUAAUUUUCUCUUUUUCUCUUUUUUUCUAUCGAAAUGGCUGUAUACUUGUCCCAUGUAUUAAAAACUUUAUUUUCUCGGUCAUUAUGCGAUGCCACCUUCAUUAUACACGUAUUUACCUAUGUCUGUAGUUGUAUUAUUUUUUCAUCUUUUCCACUGACCUGUUUGUCAUUCAUGUGCCAGAACCACACUGUUUUAUUAUGAAGGCUUUUUGGUAUGUUUUACUUUUUAGUUGGCCUAGUCUCCCUUGUAGAUUUUCCUUUUUAACUGUUUUCAUUCUAUUCUUGCAUAUUUUCUUUUCUGUAGGGAUUUUUUUUUUUUUUUUUUUUUUUGACAGGGAGUCUCACUCUCUCGCCCAGGCUGGAGUGCAAUGGCACAAUCUCUGCUCACUGCAACCUCCUUCCAGGUUCAAGUCAUUCUCCUGCCUCAGCCUCCUGAGUAGCUGGGAUUACAGGCACCUGCCACUAUGCCUGGCUAAUUUUUGUACUUUUAGUAGAGACAGGGUUUCAUCAUGUUAAUCAGGCUGGUCUUGAACUCCUGACCUUAGGUGAUCCGCCCGCCUUGGCCUCCCAAAGUGCUGGGAUUAUAGGCGUGAGCCACCAAGCCUGACCUCUGUAGGGAUUUUAGUAUUGACUUCAAAAGGGUUAUUCAUAUUUUUAUUGGGAUUGUGUUAAAUUUAUAAAUUAACUGGCAUCCUUAUAAUGUUGCUAUCCUGGCUAAAGCAAGGGAUGUCUAGUUCAAGACUACUUUUAUGUCUUCUGGAGUGUUUUAAAAUUUUUUCUCAUGUAGAUUUUACUUGUUGAUAAAUUUAUUCCCAAAUAUUUAGUCUCCUUUUUUGUUACCAUAAAUGGAAUUUUCUCUACUAUUUUAUCAUCUAAAUGGUCAUUGUUUGUGUAUACAAAACUUGCAUUAUGUUGCAUACCAUAAAUAUAUACGAUUGUAUUUGUCAAUUAAAAAAUUUAUAUUGCAGAUUUCUGCAUAUUGAUCAUAUAUGCCAAUAACAUUGGUUUAUCUUAUAGUCUGAGUUAGUUUUGUUAUUUAUUUUUUAGGGUUUUCCAGAUAUACUGUGUUAUAAUUUUUAAAAGUUACUCGGGUUUUGUCUUUGGUUUUUGGCACACAACUCCUAAAACCUGUGGAAUCUCCAGAGUGAAAAAGAGUGUCAUUUAUACGAUAAUGAGAUGCCUUUUUUGGUUAGGAGCCCCUAGAUUAGCUUCAGGAUUAGGAAAAACCAAGAUACAGUUAAAGGGUUAGAACUUCAGACUGUUCUUUCACCAUGAAUGGUUUUGACACCCUUGUUUAAAAUCAACUGACUGUAGGCAUAUGAUGUUAUUUCUGGAAGCUCAGUUCUAUGCCAUUGGUGUAUAUGUCUCUCCUUAUGCCAGUACCACUCUGCCUCCAUUAGUAUAGCAUUAAGUGUGUAGAUUGUUUGGAGGAGUGUUGCCAUCUUAAUAUUAAGUCUUCCAAUCCAUGACCACAGAUGUCUCUGGAUUUACUCUGUAUUCUUCAAUUUCUUUUAAUAAUGUUUUGUAGUUUUUAGUGUACAAGUCUCCUCCUUAUUUAAAUUUAUUUCUAAGUAUUUUAUUCUUUUUGAUACUAUUGAAAAUGGAAAUGUUUUCUUAAUUUCCUUUUCAGAUUAUGCAUUGUUGAAGUAUAGAAAUGCAACUGAUUUUUGUGCAUUGAUUUUGUAUGCUGCAACUUUGCUGAAUUCAUUUAUUGGCCAUAGGCCAUAUAAUAGGGGUGUGUGUGUGUGUGUGUGUAUUCUUUAGGAUUUUCUGUAUACUGCACUGUAUAAGAUCAUUCCAUCUGUCUCAGUUUGUUCCUGCUGCUAUAACAAAAUACCUUAAACUUCUUAAUUAAUAAACAACAGAAAUUUAUUGCUCACUAUUCUGGAAGUUGGGAAGUCCAAGAUCAAGGGGCCAGCAGAUUCAGUGUCUGGUGGAAGAGUCACUGUCUGCUUCAAAUAUGGUGGCUUCUUUCUUCAUCUUCAAAUGGCAGUAGCGGCAAACAGGUUCUCUCAAGCCUCUUCUAUAAGGGCACUAAUCUCAUUUAUGAGGACUCUGCCCUCAUGACCUAAUGACUUCCUGAAGUCCCCACCUCUAAAUACUAUCUUAAUUGGGAAUUUGAAGUAGGGAGACACCAACACUCAAACUGUAGAACCAUUUGGAAAUAGAGAUAAUUCUACUUAUUUCUGUAUUUCCAGCUGGUAUGCCUUUUUUUUUCCUUCCCUAAUUGCAGUGCAUUGUUGAAAUAGAAGUGACAAAAGCAGGCUUUUUUUUUUUUUCUUUUUUUUUGAGAUGCAAUCUCGCUCUGUCCCCAGGCUGGAGUGCAGUGGCGCGAUCUCAUCUUACUGCAACCUCCACCUCCCGAGUUCAAGCAAUUCUCCUGCCUCAGCCUCCCAAGUAGCUGGGACUACAGGCACCCAGCCACCACACCUGGCUAAUUUUUUAAUAUUUUUAGUAGGGACGGGUUUCACCGUGUUGCCCAGGCUGGUUUCAAACUCCUGAGCUCAGGCAACCCACUUGCCUCAGCCUCCCAAAGUGCUAGGAUUACAGGCAUGAGUCAUAGCACCCAGCCAAAAGCAGGCAUUUUUAUCUGGUUCUUGAUCUUAGAGGGAAAGCCUUCAGCCUUUCAUCAUUGAUUUUGAUAUUAGCUGCAGGUUUUUCAUAACUGUCCUUUAUCAGGGUAAGGAAGUGCCCUUCAAUUCCUGGUGUGUUGAGUAUUUAACAUGAUAUUGGAUAUAUUGUGGGUGUAUGCUAUACAUACAUUUCUGGAUGAAUUUAGAUGAUUAUGGUUUUUUUUUCCUUUCAUUCCCUCAAUGUGAUUGAUUAAUUUAGCCAGCCUUGCAUUCUUAGGAUACAUCCCACUUGGUCAUGACAUUUAAUUCUUUUAAUAUGCUAGUGGAUUCAGUUUGACAGUAUUUUGUUAAAUAUUUUUGCAUCUA
rnacentral:lncRNA from 1 species